GCAGCCGCGGUAAUACGUAGGUGGCAAGCGUUGUCCGGAUUUACUGGGUGUAAAGGGCGUGUAGCCGGGUCGGCAAGUCAGAUGUGAAAUCCACGGGCUCAACUCGUGAACUGCAUUUGAAACUGUUGAUCUUGAGUGUCGGAGAGGUAAUCGGAAUUCCUAGUGUAGCGGUGAAAUGCGUAGAUAUUAGGAAGAACACCGGUGGCGAAGGCGGAUUACUGGACGAUAACUGACGGUGAGGCGCGAAAGCGUGGGGAGCAAACAGGAUUAGAUACCCC
rnacentral:rRNA from 1 species